UACAGAGGUCUCAAGCGUUGUUCGGAUUCAUUGGGCGUAAAGGGUGCGUAGGCGGUCUGUUGCGUCCGCUGUGAAAACCCGGGGCUUAACCCCUGGCUUGCAGUGGAUACGGACAGACUAGAGGUAGGUAGGGGAGAAUGGAAUUCCCGGUGUAGCGGUGAAAUGCGCAGAUAUCGGGAGGAACACCGGUGGCGAAGGCGGUUCUCUGGGCCUUACCUGACGCUGAGGAGCGAAAGCGUGGGGAGCGAACAGG
rnacentral:rRNA from 1 species